rnacentral:misc_RNA from 1 species
UUCGAGCGUCAUUACACCCCUCAAGCCUGGCUUGGUGUUGGGCCCCGCUGCUCACCGGCAGCCCUUAAAAUCAGUGGCGGUGCCAUCUGGCUCUAAGCGUAGUAAUUUCUCUCGCUAUAGGGUCCCGGUGGAGACUUGCCAAAACCCCCAAUUUUUCUAUGGUUGACCUCGGAUCAGGUAGGGAUACCCGCUGAACUUAA